UUGCACGUGUCAAAGGGCGCAAUGACUUAGAAACAUAGACUGCUUUGUUAGAGAGAUGGCAGGGAUCUCGGCGCACUCGAACAAGCGACAGAAGGAAAACAGGCGGCCCGGCGCGAACGUGUGCGCCUCUAUGCAACUCCUGUUAAUAUUUCAACUUUUUUCUGAAUCGGCUGUGACUUUAGUGACAUUGCUGAAAGGAAGGUUACCAGCUGGAGAGAAAAACAUUGCUCAGCUCGCUCAGAAGAGAGAACAGUCACCAGCGGGUCUCCCCUUGGUCUCGGAUGAGCAGCGUUUUGCACUCGCAAUCACAGACGUUGUCACCCAGCUUCAGAUCGUCUCUGAGUGGAAGGAAGGCACAGCCAGACUCGGGGAUAAUUAUUACCCUGACAAAGAUGUUAUUCUUGCAUCCAGAAGGAGAGUUACAGCAGCACAGCUGUCUCCAGUAUCGAGUGAAAGCUUUUUUUCCAUGUUACAGUUCAAAUGGCAAUUAAUUUUCUUGAUAAGUUUAAACUAACCUUUAUUUCCGAGAGGAAAAGAACUUGUUGUACAAAACGUCUCCUAACCUGACAUUUACUAAGUAUAAUCGGGUACCUUUUCUGGAAGCAAUUAAAGGUACUUCUUACGAGCCUCCCGCAGCAUUGCUUGCAUUUGGCUUAAAGCGCCGCUGGGCAUAUCGCCCCCUAUGGCGCGGGCUGACUGAGCGUUUCGGUUACGACGACUCGUUUUCAGACGCUCGUCCUUUUCUCGAAGCUUGACCUUUGUGGCUGAACCCGGCAAUGCUUCCUCUACAUCGGGGGAAAUUUCCUUCUGAAAAUUUUUAUCUUAUAAUUGGCCCAUUUUCAAGCACAAAAGACAUGGGCAAAUGCAAGUUUCCUGCCGGAUACAUUUUGUUGUAAUCCUUUUUUUGAAUAACCUCUGGCCCCGUGAGGAAGGGUGCCGAAGAAGUAAGAUCCUGAUGCCUGCCUUUACAAUCUCGACCUUCUUUAAGUUUGGGGGUUGCUGAGAGGGGAGUUAUUUCAAGGUAAAUUAUCAUUUCUAGAGCCCUUUGAAGAGGAAUACAUGCUGUAGAGAUGCUCAGUACUAUUUAUGAUACUAAAGGGUCUAUUUAUCUUAAUGGAAACUUUUUUGGGCCUUUUACAAUAAUGCAUUCUGCCUUUUUAAUCAGCAAAGCCAUUGUAAUUGUAGACAUAUGCUGCUUGCAAAGAAUGCUAAAAUAAAUCAUUCUAAACCAGAGCAGCUAAUCCAGCAAAGAUCCAAGGGGAUAGUUUGUAGGAACAAGUCUUAUUUGGGUCUGCUUAUGAUUUUCUUACCAAGUAUUUUGUCCAUGAACUAGGGAGUAUGUGUGACUCAUGAAAAAAAAUAAAAGCAGAUAUCUAUGAGGGUUUUGUACAGGCAACCAAAUAUUAAUAAAGAUGAUAUAAGGAAGGUACCUCUGGUUAUAAUGCAUGCC